AGUGAACGCUGGCGGUAGGCCUAACACAUGCAAGUCGAACGGCAGCACAGUAAGAGCUUGCUCUUACAGGUGGCGAGUGGCGGACGGGUGAGGAAUACAUCGGAAUCUACUUUUUCGUGGGGGAUAACGUAGGGAAACUUACGCUAAUACCGCAUACGACCUACGUGUGAAAGCAGGGGAUCUUCGGACCUUGCGCGAUUGAAUGAGCCGAUGUCGGAUUAGCUAGUUGGCGGGGUAAAGGCCCACCAAGGCGACGAUCCGUAGCUGGUCUGAGAGGAUGAUCAGCCACACUGGAACUGAGACACGGUCCAGACUCCUACGGGAGGCAGCAGUGGGGAAUAUUGGACAAUGGGCGCAAGCCUGAUCCAGCCAUACCGCGUGGGUGAAGAAGGCCUUCGGGUUGUAAAGCCCUUUUGUUGGGAAAGAAAAGCAGCAGGUUAAUACCCCGCUGUUCUGACGGUACCCAAAGAAUAAGCACCGGCUAACUUCGUG
rnacentral:rRNA from 1 species